rnacentral:lncRNA from 15 species
CACAUUUCUUUCCUGUCCUCGCUUCACUUCAAAUUUCUCUGUUCUGUUCCUUAUUCGUACAUUGUCCUCCAUGACAGGGAUGUAGAGCAGUCAUGCAGUAGCAGGUGGUUUUACCAUUGUAUCUCAUUAGGUUUGGAUUCUGUUCUUGACAGGUAGCAGUACUGUGGAACAGUCAGGCUGACAUGUUCCAGUCCUAUAGACUGGAGAAUAUAGCCUAUACGUUGUCCAGUUGCAUUAAUUUUACUUGUCUAUUUCCAUUCAGGGUCACAUGCUGUACUCUACAGCCAAAUUUGGCUGUCAGCUGCCUAGUACUGAUCUUAAUUUUUCUAGAAGUUUCAAAAUGAGGCUCCUUCCUGCAGCUUCACUUUCAAAACAACUCUCGGAAAACCAGCAGAAUUCCACAUGCAGAGCACACCUGCAACCACUGGGAAAACACACUCAGGAAUUUCAAUCUUGAUCUGAUUAUGGUUUAUAGAGGUGCCAACUACUCUCCGAGGAACGCUAGUAAAUAUCCUUUUAUCUGCUCUAGUGCAUUUAUCCUUAAGAGUUAUGACUUAUCUUCAUGUGGAACUCAAAGAUGGAUACACUCCUAACAAUAUGGCUUCUGGCUAUGAAACCCAGCAGCCAGGUGUGGAGGUUUCGUAGUUGGACCUGGCAAUGCGGAAGUACUGAAAACUUCAACAAUCUUUUUGAACCACUGGGGCUCUCUACAAGAAAUACGAAAAGACAGUUCCCCCACUCAGUGUCUCACAACCCACUCAAUUCCCUCUUACAUCGUGCCGAACCCCUCCAUCCAUUCAUCGAUCCGCCAACCAACCUUCAUUCCUCUGACCUUCAUUCCUUUGACCUUCAUUCAUCCGACCUUCAUUCCUCCGACCUCCAUCCAUCCCUCAUCCCUCAAACCUACCUCCAUCCCUCAUCCCUCGAACCUACCUUCAUCCCUCGAACCUACCUCCAUCCCUCAUCACUUCAUCCCUAAUCCCUUCACCCCUCAUCCCUCAGUAAACCACAUUGCUUCACAUUUGUUCAUUAUGUGCAAUAAACUUUUCUUAUUUCAUACAUUCGAUGGCGUGGUCAUUGUUAGUGAAUUCUGCUAUAACUAUUUUAAAGGUCCAGUGUGUAACAUUUAGGAGGACAGAAAUGGAAUGUAAUAUUCAUAGGUACAUUUUAAUCACCUGCUAAUAAGAAUCGUUGUGUUUUUAGAAUGAGCAGGUCAUCUUCUACAGAGUCUGCCAUGUUGAACCGCCAUGUUUCUACAGUAGCCCC